rnacentral:lncRNA from 1 species
AAAAAAAAAAUCCAAAUUGUGCUAAGGGCUUUUAUUCUCGUGUGUCUUCGCUGGUUUCAUUCAAAUCGUACGCGACUCAGAUACCGUAUUCUUCUAAAUUCUCAUAAAGGUUCGUCUUUUUCUUCAUUCUCUUCAAUUCAUCAAUUACUAAUUAGGUUUUUCUCUGCAACAUCUCUCUAUAUUUUUGUUUCUUUUACAAUUUUUUGUUUCACAUGUAUAAUUUUUUUGGGGGAUUUUCUCGUAUUGUGGCUUUUUUCUUGUAACCAUGUUAGCUUAAUUACAAUAAUCAAUGAAUUGGGUGUUUUUGUUCUAUAUUAUAUACCAAUUUUCAUUGUCAAAAUGCCAGCUUUUUAGAAUUUUCAUUGUCAGAAUGCCAGUUUUUUGUAAUUGUUGUGAUAAUUGUUGUGAUGUGAUGGUGUAUGUGUUUUCCUUUUUAGGUAACUUGAAAUGGGAUCAAGACACCGUGUUCACAGAGAAACGAUGAAUCCUCGAAGAGGGUAUCCAUCGGAAGGGCCUUAUGCUCGCGGACCACCAAUUCAACGGCCGCAUAUU